rnacentral:rRNA from 1 species
UACGUAGGGCGCAAGCGUUAUCCGGAAUUAUUGGGGCGUAAAGAGCUCGUAGGCGGUUUGUCGCGUCUGCCGUGAAAGUCCGGGGCUCAACUCCGGAUCUGCGGUGGGUACGGGCAGACUAGAGUGAUGUAGGGGAGACUGGAAUUCCUGGUGUAGCGGUGAAAUGCGCAGAUAUCAGGAGGAACACCGAUGGCGAAGGCAGGUCUCUGGGCAUUAACUGACGCUGAGGAGCGAAAGCAUGGGAGCGAACAGG